rnacentral:rRNA from 1 species
UGGGGAAUUUUGGACAAUGGGCGCAAGCCUGAUCCAGCCAUGCCGCGUGCGGGAAGAAGGCCUUCGGGUUGUAAACCGCUUUUGUCAGGGAAGAAAUCUUCUGAGUUAAUGCCUCGGGAGGAUGACGGUACCUGAAGAAUAAGCACCGGCUAACUACGUGCCAGCAGCCGCGGUAAUACGUAGGGUGCAAGCGUUAAUCGGAAUUACUGGGCGUAAAGCGUGCGCAGGCGGUUUUGUAAGACAGAGGUGAAAUCCCCGGGCUCAACCUGGGAACUGCCUUUGUGACUGCAAGGCUUGAGUGCGGCAGAGGGGGAUGGAAUUCCGCGUGUAGCAGUGAAAUGCGUAGAUAUGCGGAGGAACACCGAUGGCGAAGGCAAUCCCCUGGGCUGCACUGACGCUCAUGCACGAAAGCGUGGGGAGCAAACAGGAUUAGAUACCCCUGGUAGUCCACGCCCUAAACGAUGUCAACUGGUUGUUGGGAAGGUUCCUUCUCAGUAACGUAGCUAACGCGUGAAGUUGACCGCCUGGGGAGUACGGCCGCAAGGUUGAAACUCAAAUG